AUGAACGCUAGCGGCAGGCUUAACACAUGCAAGUCGAGGGGCAGCACGGGUAGCAAUACUUGGUGGCGACCGGCGCAAGGGUGCGUAACGCGUGAGCAACAUGCCCGUAUCAGGGGGAUAAUCCAUGGAAACGUGGUCUAAUACCCCAUAGUAAGUUUUUGGGGCAUCUCAAAGAUUUUAAAGCUUUGGUGGAUACGGAUUGGCUCGCGUGACAUUAGCUGGAUGGUAAGGUAACGGCUUACCAUGGCUACGAUGUCUAGGGGUUCUGAGAGGAAGGUCCCCCACACUGGAACUGAGACACGGUCCAGACUCCUACGGGAGGCAGCAGUGAGGAAUAUUGGACAAUGGAUGGAAAUCUGAUCCAGCCAUGCCGCGUGCAGGAAGACGGCCCUAUGGGUUGUAAACUGCUUUUGUAUGGGAGCAAUAAGAUCUACGUGUAGAUUGAUGAGAGUACCAUACGAAUAAGCACCGGCUAACUCCGUG
rnacentral:rRNA from 1 species